rnacentral:pre_miRNA from 1 species
GUAUUACUCCCUCCCUUCCGAAUUACUUGUCUUGGAUUUGUCUAGAUACAGAUAUAUUUAGACUCAUUUUAGUGCUAGAUACAUCCGUAUCUAGACAAAUCUAAGACAAGUAAUUCGGAACGGAGGGAGUACUAA